rnacentral:tRNA from 1 species
GGCCGUUUGGUCUAGUCGUCAGGAUCCUCGCUUUGGGUUAACUGUUUGCUCAGUUUGCUGGACUGAAUGCGAGGGGUCCCGGGUUCAAAUCCCGGAACGGCCC